GUAGGUAUAGUUUCAAAAAAACAUUAGAUUGUGAUUCUAAAAAUAGGGGUUUAAAUCCCCUUACCCACC
rnacentral:tRNA from 1 species